rnacentral:rRNA from 1 species
UACGGGGGGGGCAAGCGUUGUUCGGAAUUACUGGGCGUAAAGGGCGCGUAGGCGGUCAGACCAAGUCGAGUGUGAAAUUCCAGGGCUUAACUGCUGGCGCGCUCGCUCGAUACUGGUCGGCUAGAGUGUGGAAGAGGAUGCUGGAAUUCCCGGUGUAGCGGUGAAAUGCGUAGAUAGUCGGGAGGAACACCAGUGGCGAAGGCGGGCAUCUGGGCCAACACUGACGCUGAGG